ACCUCAAAAACACUACAACAAAAACGGUCUAUAGCGACACUUUUAAAUAUCGCUAUAGGUAAAAAAAAAAUGCUGCUCGCUAAAUUACCGACACUUUUAAAAAAUGUUGUUAUAUGUGGGGUCGCUAGGUAUAUAGUGACAGUUAAAGAGUGUCACUAUAACCUAAAAGAGUGUUGCUAAUUUACCAACACUUAUUUAAGUAUUUAGCAACCGCCGAAACUUUACCUCGUUGGCUGCGGUGGCGGAGGAGGACUAGAGGAAGGGAUCUUCGUCUAGGAUUUCAGUAGAUUGAGUGAAGAAAGAAGAGGAGAUGUUAAUCGAUUUUUCUUUUUUUUUCUUUUCUGUUUGUAAUCGGACCGAAUGGGCUAGGUGGGGUGGGUUGAGUAGAGUAAUCUUUUAUUUUUGGUUGAAUUGGGCUUUAUAUUUAGGCAUUAGUAGAUUUUUUUAAAAAGUUUUGGCAUAAAUUGAACACUUACACAAAAGU
rnacentral:lncRNA from 1 species